UUUUUUCAUUAAUUUUGUAUUGUCAUUGAGGAGAAUAAACCCAUCAAUUCCAAAUUAUUGAAAUCAAUAUCAGGUAACAUAUGAAAUGUUGCAUGUUUUUGUUAAAUGAGGGAAUCCGAAGAUUCCACAAAUUUGAUUGUUUGUCCGUGGGACGCAAAAGUCGGAUUUAACUUUUUACAGUCUUAUCCUUCUCUUGUUUUUUUAAUAGUAUACUACAUUUGGCUUAAUUGAAUAAACAACUAACCCAAAGUAACAUACUAAGAAAAAGAGGUGUGGUAAUGAUCCUUCCGCAGGUUCACCUACGGAAA
rnacentral:misc_RNA from 1 species